GCUUACGGCCAUACCACCCUGAGCACGCCCGAUCUCGUCUGAUCUCGGAAGCUAAGCAGGGUCGGGCCUGGUUAGUACUUGGAUGGGAGACCGCCUGGGAAUACCAGGUGCUGUAAGCU
rnacentral:rRNA from 12 species